GGAACGUCGGGCAUGAGAUCUCCGAGAGCGAACUGCUCCAGGUGGUGCAGCCGUUCGGCACUGUCGCCAAGCUCGUCAUGCUGCGUGCUAAGAACCAGGCUCUCGUCCAGAUGGAGGAUUUAGCUUCUGCUGUGAAUGUGAUCCAAUACUACAAUACAAUUCAACCCAGUGUAAGGGGAAGAAAUGUUUACUUGCAAUAUUCAUCCCACCAAGAAUUGACUACUG
rnacentral:misc_RNA from 1 species